GACUUGAAGCGACAAAGGGUUAAUUUGUCCUACAGAACAGAACGUCUGGUGGUAAGCCUCUUAGAGUAGAAUCGCUAACAGAGACCUAGGGCUCUGCUUCUUCUGCUCACCAUUAUCCUGUAGACUUUCCAGGAUGAAAAAGGUGGAGGGCUUGGCCAGAGAGAGAGAGAGAGAGCUCUAUGGACGUAAUAUUAUGCAUGAAUGAUUAAGCAUAAUUCUGGGUUUGCCCAAUUGGCGCUUCUAUUUAAUGAUGUUCACGCUGAACUUGGGAUGACUUGGACAGACCUACACCGAAGAUUCUGGUUUAUGACCGUGAAUUCGUUUAAGCAAUAAGGAUAAUUCAGCAUAAUUUUGGAUCCAUAAUUUUUACAGGAAGACUAGGUGAGGCAGGCAUUAGGGCUGAUUUUUAAAAUCGUGUGAGCACUGUGGUCUCUACUUCCCGUUGAAAACUCGACUGUGUUGGAUAGUCCUCCCUGAAAUGAGUGGUAUGCAGCCCUCACUCUCCUUUGCCUGGUAGAUUGGUUAACCAGGACCACAGUGAUUGUGUGAUUGGGGCACCAGCCGUUUUUCCUCACCUGGACAAGGAUCAGAAUUCAAGCUGAGAGUUUCAAAAACCAAGAGAAUGAAAGAAGGGACAUGCUUUCCCUUUAAAACCCUCCUCAUCGUCUUGGUUGAUCAGGCCAACCAUCGUCUUGACUGAGUAUAACCAGCUGGGGAUGGAUGUCCUUCAGUUUCCAUGAUUCGUGUGGCCACAUUCCAUAGCAGGAACCCUUCCAUGCACCGUGCCUGUGGGAGGGAAGGAGAGAAGGGAGCCGAAAAAGCACAAGAACACACUUCAGAGUCUGCUUGCCUCUAAGACAAUCUUCAGUGAAAUGUGGGAACCAAAUAUUACAUCUCAUGCUUUUUAAAAUUUUUUUAUUACUCAGUGAAUUUAUCACAUCUGUAACAUUUCAUACUUGAUCACUUGCUUAGUUCAAAGCACAGGGUCUCUGUUGGAAAGGGUUUCGCUGAGGUGGAAACUUUCUUCAAGUUUUCGUGAUCUCGUGCAGUGCUGUGAGCCGUCCUGGGAUACAGUAGUUAAUCUCCAUGCUCUGGCCCACAGUGCUGCAAUUUCAGCAAGGGUUGGGGGGGGUGGUGUUGGCUCGUCUGUACCAUGUGACGUUGUUGUCGUGUGACUCACUCAUUAGGGAGUCAUGCAGGAGUCUAGUCUGAACUGCCUUUUUUUUCCCUUUUGUUUUUCAUGGCAGCUACAUCCCAAGAACAUGAAGGUGGAAACUUCCAGGCCUGGUUAAUGCUAGAUUCCAGAAUUUACACAUCUCCUUGUCAUGUUGCGUGGGUCAUACAUAGCAAGACACCAGCCAGCCCAGAUUCCAGGAACAGGGAAACACAGUCCAACCCUUGCCCUUGAUGCAAACAGUGGCUUGUGCUCAGGGGGCUGGGAGAGAUUCUUGGUGGCCAUUUUUGCAGGCCACCUACAUACCCAGGAUCAACUCUCUAUGGAGACUUUAUCAGUUCCCUGGGGGAACCAUCCUUGCUCUUCCAGGGACUUGUUCCUCCCUCAGAUGGAGCAGCAGCACAUUGUAGAGAGUUUCCGAGCAAGGGCUUUAAAGUUGGAUUUCUGGUUUCUAAGCCUGGCUCUCCCGCGUGCUCGCUGUCAAAUCUUGAUCAAGUUCUUACUUGUUUGGGCUUCAGUGUUCUCAUCAUAGGUUAUUUGAGGUAUUUCACAGACUUAUACCAUGUACACCAUUCAGGAUAGUGCCUGAUACAUGAUCAGGGUUCAGUAAUACUGAUUCACAGCUGCUUCCUCCUCUUCUAUGAGUUUCUGAGGGUAGGGCUGGUGUUGGCAUCUUUAUGCUCUGAGACCUGGUAAAGAUUUUCAUGUGGUGGGGUCUCAGUAAAUAUGUGAUAACUGAAUAAAUGAAUCAAGGCUAUCCUUUUCUUUGUGUCCAUCUGAAGGCAAAUAUUUAUGUUCAAAAAAGUAUGGAUUUGGGUAGCAUAUAUCAUAUGCGCCAGAGAGACAAACACUUAACACCUAUUCGUUCAUUCAUUCAUUCAGCGCAUAGUAUUGAGCGCAGAUUAUGAGCUCGAAAGUCCAUUAUGUUGUGGAGAUAACAUGAUGCAUAAGCAUGUGUCAUACCUGCAUUCCUGGUAGUUAUCUUCUAGUGAGGAGAGAAAAUAAAUAAACUCAAGAUAAUACAGUAUUAAUAGCUGCAUGACAGAGGGUUUGAUUGGAUCGGGAAUGGGACGGCGAUGCAACUUUGGGUUGGUGGAACUCCCAACUUUUCUGAAGGGUUAGAAUUUCAGGAGAGACCUCAAGGAGAAAAAGUCAGUCGUUUGGAGAUGUGUGGGUAGGUCCUUCCCGGAAGGGAGAUGAGUAAAAACAGAGACUUGUGGUGGAAGGGAACCUGGGAUUUCAAACCAUGAGGAAGUCCCUUUGGCCUGGAUCUUGGUGAGCCAAAGCGAGAAGAGGGAGGCAGGGCUCCAUGGAGUGGCACUUUCGAUUCGCAUAUUCCUCUGAGCGCCGUGGCAUGCCGUCCGAGGUGUAAAUGUGGAGCAGGCAACAGAUGCCUUUCCUUGUAUUUCAUUUUUGGGUUAUUUUAUUGCUGACAGUCACCCAAGGCAGCCGUGACCCUAUAUACACACAGAUAUUGGAAAAUCCUGUUCUUUCGGGGUUGGGUUAUAGGAGUAUGGGGCGGUGGUAGUUUAGGGUGGCUGGAGAGGGAGGGGCCCUGUGCCAACAGCACUGGAACUCUUUUGAGUUCCCUGAGGAGAAUCCAGAUGGUCCAGGUUCUUUCUGUCUCCAGGAUGAAGUGAUGAUGAUGCUUGGCAGUGGCGACCAAUUCUUUCGCUUCUCCUCUGGGCCUGUCACUGUUCAGCGCUUCACUCACACCCUGCUUGACUUUGACACACACCCAGAAGAUAGCUGCCACUGGCGUCUGGGUUUUACAGACGAGCAUUAAGAUCUAUGAGGGGAAGUGCCUGCCCCGAGGUUCACUGCUCGGGAUUUGAGUCCGAAUCCCUGGACCUUCUCUUUCCAGCCCAUUUCCGAGUUCUGCUCCUCUGCGCCUCCUCCCGUGAAGGCUCCCCAGACGGGGCCGAUAGAUGGGGAGUGAAACUCAAUGAUCAGUUACGAGAUGUUCUCUAGAACUUGCGGAAAUCAUAGGGCGGGCGAGCUGCGCUGGUUUUGCAACAAUAGUCCUAAUGAGCAGUUUAGCGAUGAGCGGUGCACAUGUGUGGGGGAGCCUGCAGCACAGCCCGCCCUUGGCACACAUUUGUGUCAUUGUCUGGUGUCUGUGUACAACUCGAGAUUUCCAAAAUGUUCCCUGAGGGAGUGGAUGAAUGGCGUUUCUCCGAUUUUAUAGAUUUGGGGCUGAGGCAAGCUAAACAGCGGCCUCAAGUCACACAGCAAGAUGAGGGAGGCUUCUGAGGCCCGAAUGGAGAAGCCGUAUUCCCUGUCCUCCCUCUAGAGGUUAAGCCCUUUGACCUUCAGCUGAGGGCGGUCUCUGCAGGAGAGGUUUGCUGGCUCAUAGCGCAUCCAUUCCUUCUUUAGUUUGUCCACCGUCCAUGAAACGCCUCCAAGGUCUCAGGCACGCUGCUAGGCAAGGGAAGGGGAGGGGCCAGUAAGAUGUGGCCCCGACCUUGACAAGUUGUCCACUGUUUCCACUUGGACAUCUGCCUCCUUCAGCCUCCCUGGGUCCCAAACCCAGUCCAGUGGUGGUUAGAGAUGCAGCCCUGACCUAAGACUGCCAGGUUCAGGUCCUUGCUCUCUGUCCCCGAGGGCUAAUGUCUUAACUUUUCUGCCCCUUGGCAUCCUCACCUAGGAAGCUGCGGGAUGAGUAGAACAUAAACAAAAGAACUGUUGUGUAAAUAAAAUGACACAAUACAGCUUUCUUUUCACCUUCCCUGAUGAUAAGCAUUGCCUGGGAUGCUUGUUAAAAAUACAUGGGCAUUCUGAGGCGUUGGCUUUGGGGUUCAAGACCUCGUUUUUUCUUUGUUUUUCAGUUUUAAAUGUUGCAUGUGAUAGCUGUCAUUAGGAUACCCUGGGCAACGUUGAUAUAAUACAUGAAAAGCAAUGGUUCUCUACUUGCAUCUUUCACUUGCUUGAGGAGCUUUAAAAAUACAGAUGCCUGGGUCCCCCUUGAGAUUCUGUUUUCAUCGACCGGGGUGCAUAUCAGGAUGUUUAAAGGCUCCCCACGAAUUUCUAAUAUGCAACCAGGGUUGAGGAUACCUGCUAUAAGGUAUUGAGCACAGUGCCUGGCACAAAGUACUGUACACCAGAUAUGCUGUCAUCUUUGUCAUUGUUUUCAUGCUCCCCCCACCAAGGAAACGAGACACACACAAUUAAGGAGAAAAGAAAGAAUGUCAGCUUGUGUGUAGGAAGAAUGGCAAGAGCCAGUCUGAACUUCUGUAACAUUUCCUGUUGCCUUAUCGCAUUUAGACUCUCCCCUGAGCACCAAACCUCCAAUAAUUUUGUCAUUCCUCUUCUUGACUAGAAGGUCUAUCAGGAGCAAGAUAAUGCAUUUCAUUUUAAUUUUUUCAUAUUUCCCCAAAGAUUUAUCCAGUGCUUUGUAUACAUAGUAGGUACUAAGCAACUCCUUAUCACGUUAAGAAGGUAAAUAUAUUGGUGCAGGAAUAGGAGGGACAGAAUAUUACAGGAAGGGUGAGGAAGGAAGGAACUGAGGACGGUUGGAGAGCGUUUGAGUUAUCACUUGAAGAGUGGCUUGACGUUUCCAAGUGGAGCGAAGGGGAGCCUUUCCGGUGGGCGAAAUGGUUCGAGCACAUUUGGGGACAAGGAAAUAUAUGCCUGUGCAAGGACAAGAGAAUACUCAGUUUGGGAUGGAGGAAGUACUGCAGGGAGACCUGAAUUAAAAGGACAGCUGAAAGAAGAUGCUAGAGGGUUCGUAGUAUUACCUCGUGCAUACAUAAUCCUGAGGAAACCGAGGCACAGAGAGCCUGGGUCCCUUUGCCAGGCAUGCACUGGUGGGUCUGGGAUGGGAAGCUUGGCUCAGGCAGCUCCCACGCUCCAAGCCGCUACUCCCUCCGGGCUCCCAGCAUCUUGAACAGCAGGGGGAUAAUGAAGACUUUCUCAGCAGAAGCAUGACAGCCUCAGACAGAUUCUGUAGAACAAUCUGAGAGGAACGGUGGAGAGGGGUGAAACCAGAGAUCAGGAGAGCAGUGCUUUGCUUUUCAAAAAGGGUGAGCCACACACACACACACACACACACACAAAACCAGCACCAAGGUCAGCGCACAAAGUAUAUAAAUAUACGGCAGGCAUUCUCGUCGCCUGAACAGAGGCGGGCCACCAAUUUGGAAGUGAGCGUUCUGGCAGCCAGCGUGAUUCAUGGAGGUCGUAAAGGGUACGUAGAAUGGUCACUCGGGAGAUGUCCAGCUCUUGCCUUUUCUGAAACCAGAGAGCAGAUCCCUUCUAUGCCUCUCAAAGGGAGGGACCCUGCGUGAAAUGCUGCGUAUCGCUCUCGACAGCGGGAACAGCAAGGGGUCCGUGGUGCUGCUUCACGGAUGGUCCUUAACAAGGAUGGUCGUAGCAGUGGGUUACACUCCAUCUUGACCCUGCAGGAUCUGCAUUUUCAGAUGUGAACAUUCCAGCAUUAAAGUUUUCCUAUUAUUCUCAUGCAUUACACCAUACCACUCCUGUGCCACCUCCCCAAAGUCGUGGUUGUCUUUUUUUAAGUCAACUAAAUGAUUGAGCUCUUCCUCCUCUGGCUCACUUUAUUUCCAGUGCUGAGACUGCAAGGCUUGGCUUUUAAAUAUGUACAUUAUAAUUUCUUGACGUCAUAUCUUAAGCAUUUAUAAUGAAGUGCCAAUAGCUGUGGCGAUAUAAUAAUGCAAAUCCUCCUAACGACAUGUUAGAACAGAACAGAAGCAUCUCAUACUUCUCUCCCUUGACACAUUGCUGCUGUUUUCAAAACUCUUCAUAUCCUGUUGGCGUAGAACCAUACGUUUCUCAUUUUGAAAGUUGCCUAAAGCUUAUGCAGCCUAAAGCUUAUCCAUCCCCUUCCCACCACCUCGGGUCACAAGAUGUUGCAAAAUCCAACCGAGCGUGAUUCCUCCCCUUCCAGGUGUCACCCCCACCUUCCCUCCAGGAGACCAGCUUCCGGGCGACGAAAGGGGAAGGGGAGGUUAUCAAUGGCUAGGAGUUAAACACCUGCUCCGUGUCAGGCACUUUGCAUAUUACCUACUGGAAGUGGGCCACACAUUCAGUGACAUGCAUAUGCCUCCCACCUAAAUAAGCAAACUAGCCUGUCUCGGUGUAUACAGCUCGUGAGUGUCCGAGAAAGAGUCUAUCUCAAAUCUGAUGCCACCUCCUGAGUUCUGUCCAUGGUAAUAUACCUUUGCAAGGUUAAACCUGAGAACAUAGGUGCUGUGAUUUCAGUUCCAGGUACAAUGAUGUACACACACUGCAUCUUGUCUCUUCCCCUGAAUGACGCUCAGAAGGAUAGAAGGGGAAGCUAUGCCUGAAGGGGCCAUUUGAAGACUGUGAAAGCAGCAGUGGCAGGCAGAUUGCAGAAGAAGGGCGGAAUGCAAAGUGUCAUUGUACCCUUGGUGAGCUUGCCAGUUUUUUAUUCUCCUCUACCCCACAGCCUGGACUCAAGGCAGCUCAACACAUAAAGUGGUCCUUCAUGCAUACAGGCAGAACUCCAAAAGAAGCUCUCUGGUCCUGGCUACAGGGGCAGGAAAAGGGCACCCAAAUGUCAGAGAGAGCAGGUCUCUCAAGUCAUCCCUCCUGAAAAAUACAUUUACUCUUUUAAGCCCCGAUGCCCAGGUAAUCACUGUACAUGGUGACAGUGCAGUGUGAGUGAUGGAACUGGGGCUCUUCAAACUCCUAAAACUCUAAGGGAGAUAUAAGCCUUCCUUUCUCCUUGGUCCCAAGAGGUCGUGGAGUAUCCCCAUUGCUUUUUUCCUCUUUUCUCUUCCCACCACUUGGCUGCGGAUGCAGGUGCUCUUGUGGGGAAGCCAAAACAAAAGCCCUAGGUUUCUCGUGGGGCCACCAACGCAGGAAGCCUUGGAAACAUGGACUGUAGCAGGGAGAUGAUGGAAAGAGAGGAGCUUGGCAAAGUCAGCCCAUUGAGUCGUGUGUAAGCUCCUGGAAUCACUCCUACCCUAAGUAUGUCUGUUUCUUUCUGAUCCCAAAGAACACACCAGAGAUUUUGAGAACUGAAUUGACAGACCCCCACAUCAGGUCCCAGACGGCCCUCUGGGUAGGACACAUGUGGUUCAAUUGAAAUAGCCAUCCAAAGGCUUUGAAAAAAGGGGCAAAAAUUGAAACCACAACCUGCAGAAGUCUAGGGAGAAUUUGUAGCUUGACCCAGUAGGGCUGAUUGUCUGGUAAACCAACAUUCUCCGUAGGAUUUAAACAAGAUCCAAUGUCUUCUAACCUAAUAUCUAACACAUCCUACAUGCAAUCUAAUGUUUUCUGGCCUGCGAAGGACCAGGAAAAGAACAACUUGCAUGGGAAAAGACAAUCAGUCGCAUACCAGUGCCGAAAUGACACGGAUUUUAGAAUUACCUGAUAAAGUCUUUAAAGCAGCUGAUCCAAGAAAAGCCUCCACUUUUGAAAAGCAUGGAAUAAUAAAACACUUAGCAAAAUCAAUAAAAUAUAUAAAAAAAUGGAAAUUUUGGAAAAAGAAGUAGAAUACCUAAAUUUUGGAAAUAUAAAUAGAAUACCU
rnacentral:lncRNA from 1 species